GUCUUGCUGCAAAGAUCCCAGUUGGUCCAAGGUUUCCCUCUCCCCCCUUUCCUUCAGCAAGAACUGCAUUUUUUUAAAAAAUAGGGCUUUUUAAAUAGUUGCAUCUUUGGCUGCUUGGAGACAGGUGCCUGAUUUGAUUCCACUGAAAAGAUAUCUUCUAAUUAGUUGAUAUACAUUGGACUUUAGUCUCCAACUAAGGCAAGAAUCUGGCAGAUACAGGCUUCAGGCCCUUGUUCAGACAUGAUUUGAAGUUCAUGAGAGAGCAUUGCCUCCUUACUGAUGGGACUGUGCUGUGUCACCCUAGUGACACACAUCAUACGCCUCCAUCAUCUGGGAGAGAAGUGGAAGGAACAUUGACGUCAAAAAUAGCCUGAAUUACUGAUGGAUACUGCCUUUGAGAUCCAGGCUGGAGAUUAUAAAAUUCUUCUGUUGAUUGGGGCCUAGAAUGGAGCCAUGCAAUAUGCCAUUGAAUACCUUCCAGCUUGAUGUGGAGCCAGUGACGUACAUCCACUGAGUAUAUUACUUGGUGCUAAGUGAAAUUGCAGUAUUUUUAGAACUGGAGAGGAUUCAAAUCCAGAUUUCUGUAGAAUCAUGCGGCCCUGGAGAAAUAACUUAUCCAUUCAGAGGGCGCUGUUCUAAGUAUCUCUAUGAAUAUAUGCACAGACCUUCUAUUUCUUCAGCACCUUGCCAGCUUAGCCUUCCAUCUCUGCUGUGGGCCUUUGUUCUUCUUGCUCAGCCUGCUGCACAUGUAUCUCUUCCUCUCCAGUCACUUCCAACUUCUCUCCACGGCCAUUUUGAUCUGUCAUGCAGAGAGAGAGAGCAGCAGCAUCAACAUCACUAGAGAACAUGACAGAUCAGGAUUUCUGAAAAGCAAACUGUAAAAGUUCUGAUGGAUGGCUGAAUCCUCUGCUCAACCAUCAUUAAAACUUGCCUUUUCCAACAGCCACAUGUAAGGGGCAGUUUUUCUUGCCAGCUGAAAUCCACCAGGCACUGCAUCUUCCACGAUACGUGUUGGCCUUACAGGUUAUCUUGUUACUGCUCAGCAUUAUAGAUGGAGCAACUGUAGGAUGGCAUAAUUUGUGCUGCCUCACAGACUGGAACAAACCAUGUUAAACUGACUGUCUGGCUUGCCUUUUGACAGUAUAAGGAGUUGUUAAGUAUUCACACUACAUUUAAUUAAAAAUACUCUAGGGAAAAAGCUUUGUGUACUUUUGUUUCAUGUUUUAGUUUGCAUAGGGGGAGCUCAUUCGUUCAUCACUUUACCUACAGGUCUUUUAUAGUGAUUUCAUAUUUCAGAUGGAUACUUUUUGUUUCAUAAAUAUUAUGUUAUCGUGACUCAGUUUGUUUUCUUCCUUUCUAGUGAAAUAAGAAUGCAUUUUUAUCCUCUUGCAAUAAUUGAGAUGAUACAUGCCUGUAGCUUAGCAAAAAGUAUAAAAAGUUUUGUUUCACUCCUUGAUUGUUAUCUGGCAAUGGAAAGCUUAAGAUUGCUUAUGAUUCUAAGUUUUUUAUCCUGUCAACAGUAAGUAAGCUGGGAGUAAGCUGAAUUCAGUGGAUUUCUGAUUAGGGAGGUUUAGAAUUGUGCUACAAGAGUCUUGUCUUAUUGUAUGAUUGUCCAUUAGCAGCAGCUGACAUAAUGAAUGGUCAUCUGUGUUUUCAGAAGUGGGAGAAGCAAACAUUGCAUCUUUCUCCAAAGGGUAAGCAUAAUAUAAUACCUGCAAUACCUCAUACAGGUACUUGGUUCCAAUAAUUGCACAAUUCUGAUUAUUUGGAAUGACCUUGUAACUUAUCCAUUGAUGACAAAUCACCAAACUAUAUUCCACACAGAACAGUUACUCUAUUUCUAUGUCACUGUUCCAUCAAUCAAUUGGGGGAAGAAAGGCAGUGGAGGGUAACAACCAAUGACCAGGGGAAUAUAUUAUUGCUAUAAUGCCCAGUGGCCAAUUGGAAUGGGUUUGCCUACUAUGAAAUGAUGUGCAGCCAGAAAAUCAGACAGCACUACUUCAGUUGGCACAGGAUAAUGUGUAUUCCUACCCUCAAGACAUGGUCAGAAGCCCUUACUCAAGCUUGAGCAAGCUGGUCAUGUGGAUCAGCCCAACAUCUCCUCCCUCUCACCCCAUAGAGCCAAUAACUUACAUAUGCACACAGAGUUUGUGGUAACCUAUUGUUAUUAAGAUACAUCUUGCUUUACAUGAAUAUAUAUUUGGUGGCCCAGUACUUUUAAUAAAGUCCACACAAGCAUUACCUACUGACUUCUCCCAAUUUUUCUAAAUCAUGCAUUGUCUAGUAUUCUGCAUUGAAGUGAUCACAAAAGAGUAAUCAUACAAAUUAAUGUAAUAAAUAAAUACAUGAAAAAUAAAUGGAUGUAUGUCUUCUACCUCACCCUGGGGCCUCUCCGAGGGAGACUGUAACCCCAGGCCUCACGAGCUGAGGGUCUCUUUCCAGUGUCUGAACAAUACAUUGAAUGAUAUCAUGAAUCAAAACUUUUCUUUCAAAGCAGUAAAGUUCAUUGAUUAAAAAGUUUAAUUUCAGUCUUAUGCCUCCCCCCUCCAAUACUCCCAUUGAUUGGUCAAUAAUAUUAGUGGCACAAAACAAGUCUCAUUUACACAAAGUGCAAUGAAAAGAAUGUACGUUCUACUAUCUCUUCCCCACAAUAUGAGGCUCUUAUUGAACUCUGGCCUCUUACAUUCCUAAAACGGUCUUGCCAUCCAACCCUAACACGAGUACUGUGGUAUCAACUAUUCUAGAUAAAGCAUCAGUGUAAAAUCUGAUCAUCUCAUCCUGUAAAGGAUGAGAUCAGGGCUGCACAUACUUUGAGCUCUGUCAAAUCAUCAUCCCAGAAGUGGGCAUAGCCAGAAUGAAAAGUGGAUGGAAAAAAUGUAGGCAGAGCUCAUUAAUUUUGUUGUACAAUUGUUUAGUCACUUCAUGACCUGAUGGAUGCAAUUUCUCCAGGACUGUCUUUCAUUAACUGCUUGUUUGAGUUUUUGUAAGCUCCUGCUUGAGUCAUCAAUGAUAUUAUAUAGCCACCUUGCCUUCUGUUAACCUCUCCAAUAAAAUGUGGUUAUUUAUUUAUUCAAUUUAUAUGGCUGCCCGUCUCAGAAUCUUGACACUGGGCAGCUAGCAACAGUGAAAAACUCCACAAAACAAUAAAAACAACACAUAUAUAACCAGUAGCUGACAUAAAAACUAAACCACCACAACAAAUCAACAUUACCAUUGCCCGGGCUCUGCUACACAUCUAGAUCCCCAAGCUCAGUGACAAAAACAUGUCUUUAGGGUCUUGCAAAAGGCCAGCAAAGUUAGGGCCAAUCUAAUCCCUGGAGGGGUGAUUGUGAUGGAAUGUAUCUACGAAGAGGAAGAGGAUGUGGGGGAUAGCAACAGAGAGC